GACGAACGCUGGCGGCGUGCCUAAUACAUGCAAGUCGAACGCUUCUUUCCUCCCGAGUGCUUGCACUCAAUUGGAAAGAGGAGUGGCGGACGGGUGAGUAACACGUGGGUAACCUACCCAUCAGAGGGGGAUAACACUUGGAAACAGGUGCUAAUACCGCAUAACAGUUUAUGCCGCAUGGCAUAAGAGUGAAAGGCGCUUUCGGGUGUCGCUGAUGGAUUGACCCGCGGUGCAUUAGCUAGUUGGUGAGGUAACGGCUCACCAAGGCCACGAUGCAUAGCCGACCUGAGAGGGUGACCGGCCACACUGGGACUGAGACACGGCCCAGACUCCUACGGGAGGCAGCAGUAGGGAAUCUUCGGCAAUGGACGAAAGUCUGACCGAGCAACGCCGCGUGAGUGAAGAAGGUUUUCGGAUCGUAAAACUCUGUUGUUAGAGAAGAACAAGGACGUUAGUAACUGAACGUCCCCUGACGGUAUCUAACCAGAAAGCCACGGCUAACUACGUG
rnacentral:rRNA from 1 species